ACAGGUUUCGCACUUAUACCAAACGCGCACGCACCACCACUGAUCCAUAUUAGUGGAGCACACAAGCCGCGCUCAGUCUCAAACAGCUUGUGCGCCACAAAUACCAAA